CCUACGGGGGGCUGCAGUGGGGAAUCUUGCGCAAUGGGCGAAAGCCUGACGCAGCGACGCCGCGUGAGCGAUGAAGGCCUUCGGGUUGUAAAGCUCUGUGGGGAGAGAAGAAUAAGGGUUGGCUAACAUCCAACCUGAUGACGGUAUCUCCUUAGCAAGCACCGGCUAACUCUGUGCCAGCAGCCGCGGUAAGACAGAGGGUGCAAACGUUGUUCGGAAUCACUGGGCGUAAAGCGCGUGUAGGCGGCUUGGCAAGUCGGAUGUGAAAUCCCACGGCUCAACCAUGGAAGUGCAUUCGAAACUGCCAGACUAGAGUCCUGGAGAGGAAGGCGGAAUACUCGGUGUAGAGGUGAAAUUCGUAGAUAUCGAGUGGAACACCGGUGGCGAAGGCGGCCUUCUGGACAGUGACUGACGCUGAAACGCGAAAGCGUGGGGAGCAAACAGGAUUAGAUACCCUGGUAGUC
rnacentral:rRNA from 1 species